rnacentral:rRNA from 1 species
GAGUGGCGAACGGGUGAGUAACACGUGGGUAACCUGCCCAUCAGAAGGGGAUAACACUUGGAAACAGGUGCUAAUACCGUAUAACACUAUUUUCCGCAUGGAAGAAAGUUGAAAGGCGCUUUUGCGUCACUGAUGGAUGGACCCGCGGUGCAUUAGCUAGUUGGUGAGGUAACGGCUCACCAAGGCCACGAUGCAUAGCCGACCUGAGAGGGUGAUCGGCCACACUGGGACUGAGACACGGCCCAGACUCCUACGGGAGGCAGCAGUAGGGAAUCUUCGGCAAUGGACGAAAGUCUGACCGAGCAACGCCGCGUGAGUGAAGAAGGUUUUCGGACCGUAAAACUCUGUUGUUAGAGAAGAACAAGGAUGAGAGUAAAAUGUUCAUCCCUUGACGGUAUCUAACCAGAAAGCCACGGCUAACUACGUGCCAGCAGCCGCGGUAAUACGUAGGUGGCAAGCGUUGUCCGGAUUUAUUGGGCGUAAAGCGAGCGCAGGCGGUUUCUUAAGUCUGAUGUGAAAGCCCCCGGCUCAACCGGGGAGGGUCAUUGGAAACUGGGAGACUUGAGUGCAGAAGAGGAGAGUGGAAUUCCAUGUGUAGCGGUGAAAUGCGUAGAUAUAUGGAGGAACACCAGUGGCGAAGGCGGCUCUCUGGUCUGUAACUGACGCUGAGGCUCGAAAGCGUGGGGAGCGAACAGGAUUAGAUACCCUGGUAGUCCACGCCGUAAACGAUGAGUGCUAAGUGUUGGAGGGUUUCCGCCCUUCAGU